GGCUUUUUUUGCCCAGGCGGAGCUCGACCGCAAACUGAAGAGAUGAUCGCGUACAUCGACGAUCACAGGGAUCGUUACGGGGUCGAGCCGAUCUGCAGCGGUGCUGCCGAUCGCCCCG
rfam:Endosymbiont of unidentified scaly snail isolate Monju DNA, complete genome.